rnacentral:rRNA from 1 species
GAUGAACGCUGGCGGCGUGCCUAAUACAUGCAAGUCGAGCGAACGGACGAGAAGCUUGCUUCUCUGAUGUUAGCGGCGGACGGGUGAGUAACACGUGGAUAACUUACCUAUAAGACUGGGAUAACUUCGGGAAACCGUAGCUAAUACCGGAUAAUAUUUUGAACCGCAUGGUUCAAAAGUGAAAGACGGUCUUGCUGUCACUUAUAGAUGGAUCCGCGCUGCAUUAGCUAGUUGGUAAGGUAACGGCUUACCACGGCAACGAUGCAUAGCCGACCUGAGAGGGUGAUCGGCCACACUAGAACUGAGACACCGUCCAGACUACUACGGGAGGCAGCAGUAGGGAAUCUUCCGCAAUGGGCGAAAGCCUGACGGAGCAACGCCGCGUGAGUGAUGAAGGUCUUCGGAUCGUAAAACUCUGUUAUUAGGGAAGAACAUAUGUGUAAGUAACUGUGCACAUCUUGACGGUACCUAAUCAGAAAGCCACGGCUAACUACGUG